rnacentral:rRNA from 1 species
AGGGCGAACGCUGGCGGCGUGCUUAACACAUGCAAGUCGAGCGGAAAGGCCCUUCGGGGUACUCGAGCGGCGAACGGGUGAGUAACACGUGAGCAACCUGCCCUUAGCUUCGGGAUAGCUCCGGGAAACCGGAAUUAAUACCGAAUAUGACUGCGGCUGACAUCAGCCACGGUGGAAAGUUUUUCGGCUAGGGAUGGACUCGCGGCCUAUCAGCUAGUUGGCGGGGUAAUGGCCCACCAAGGCAAUGAUCGGUAGCCGGCCUGAGAGGGGCGCGACGGACCGACGACCUGGAACUGAAACACGGUCCAGACUCCUACGGGAGGCAGCAGUGGGGAAUUUUGCGCAAUGGGGGAAACCCUGACGCAGCAACGCCGCGUGGAGGAUGAAGCCCCUUGGGGUGUAAACUCCUUUCGAUCGGGACGAUUAUGACGGUACCGGAUGAAGAAGCACCGGCUAACUCUGUGCCAGCAGCCGC